rnacentral:rRNA from 1 species
CUUUUAUGGAGAGUUUGAUCCUGGCUCAGGACGAACGCUGGCGGCGUGCCUAAUACAUGCAAGUCGAGCGGACUUCUU